AUUGAACGCUGGCGGAAUGCUUUACACAUGCAAGUCGAACGGCAGCACGGACUUCGGUCUGGUGGCGAGUGGCGAACGGGUGAGUAACAUAUCGGAACGUAUCCAAUAAUGGGGGAUAACUAAGCGAAAGCUUGGCUAAUACCGCAUACGCCCUCAGGGGGAAAGCAGGGGAUCUUCGGACCUUGCGUUAAUGGAGCGGC
rnacentral:rRNA from 1 species